rnacentral:lncRNA from 1 species
CAAUAGCUGAUAAAGCCGUCGCUGCCAAAAACACAGUAGCUUCCAAGCUCGGAUAUGGUGCCGACACCGAAACAACUCAAACAAACACAAGCAGCGAAAGACCAUCAACAAUCUCUUCAGCAACCUCUGCAAUAGCUGAUAAAGCUGUCACUGCCAAGAAUACUGUUGCUUCAAAGCUUGGAUAUGGUCCUGAAACAACACACCAAGAAGAAAAGCAAUCGGCAAUCUCUUCGGCAACCUCUGCAAUAGCUGACAAAGCUGUCACUGCCAAAAACACCGUAGCUUCAAAGCUCGGAUAUGGUCCUAAAACAACUCAUCGGGAAGAGGAAAAACCAUCGACAAUUUCUGCGGCAACCUCUGCAAUAGCUGAUAAAGCUGUCAAUGCCAAAAACACCGUAGCUUCAAAGCUCGGAUAUGGUCCUGAAACAACUCGUCGGGAAGAAGAAAAACAGUCAACAAUCUCUGCGGCAACCUCUGCAAUAGCUGAUAAAGCUGUCACUGCCAAAAACACCGUAGCUUCAAAGCUCGGAUAUGGUCCUGAAACGACUCAACGGGAAGAACAAAAACCAUCCGCAAUCUCUUCAGCAACCUCGGCCAUAGCUGACACAGCUGUCUCAGCCAAAAACACCGUUGCCUCCAAGCUCGGGUAUGGUGCUGACACUGAAACAGUUCAAGCAAAGCAUCACGAAGAAAAACCAUCAACAGUCUCUGCAGCCACCUCUGCGAUAGCUAAUAAAGCUGCCUCAGCCAAGAACACAGUAGCUUCAAAGCUCGGAUACGGUGCCAACACAGAAACAACACAAACAAAGAACUACCAAGAAAAUACAAGCAAUGAACAGCCAUCAACAAUUUCUUUAGCAACCUCAGCAGUAGCUGAUAAAGCUAUCUCAGCCAAAAACACCGUAGCUUCCAAGCUGGGUUUCGGUGACACAACAACAGCACAU